UACGUAGGAUGCAAGCGUUGUCCGGAUUUACUGGGCGUAAAGCGCGCGCAGGCGGCACAUUAAGUAAGGUGCGAAAUAUCCCGGCUCAACCGGGAGGGUGCACUUUAGACUGAUGAGCUUGAGGUCGGUAGAGGGGGAUGGAAUUCCGCGUGUAGCAGUGAAAUGCGUAGAUAUGCGGAGGAACACCGAUGGCGAAGGCAAUCCCCUGGACCUGUACUGACGCUCAUGCACGAAAGCGUGGGGAGCAAACAGG
rnacentral:rRNA from 1 species